AAUGGAGCCAAAAUGAGGCUGACACAAACAGAGAUAGGGGUCACACAAGCUGAAAUGAAACAGGGAAAGAGGAGGGACACACCAACAAGAAACCACACGCACACACACACUCAUACACACCAAGAAGCCAAAAUGAGACAGCAAUAAAAAGCCUUCAGUGCCAGUGUUUGGUUUAAGACUGAGGUUGGGUGAAAGCGAUGUGGCCACACCAUACUGGGUGUGGCACCAAGUGUUGUUUCCCUCUGAAUUUAUCACCCAGAUCAUCCUCAUUUUGUUCUUUUAUCACAGGGUGGCAUGUUGGAUGAAAAUGGAAAAGACAGGAAGACAUAACCACCGGGCUGUUCUCUGUAUACAAUUCACUGGCACCACAACCCUGGUAGCACUUCAAACUGCUACUGUAUCACAUGGGAGUAUGACUGGCUCACAAGGCAGAAGUCAUCAACAUCAAGAAAAACAAUCCUGCAAUGACAAUAUAGUGAAGGCUGACCAGCAGCCACUAAGAGUUAAACUCAUUGACUUUAGCCUGGCAUGUUAUGUGUUUGCUGCUGAGCAUGCCGUUCACCUUUCCAGAACAUGUUGUACAGGUAACUACAGUAAAAUGAUCCUCAUCACAGCUGAAGACUUUUCUGUUUCCCACUGCUUUUAAUUAAACCAAAUUUGAUGGUUGAUAUCUUACACUGCACUGUAACUUUUAUUCUCCUGUUUUACCUGUCUUAUUCUAAUUUAGCUUCUUCUUAUUUCCAACUUAACGCUUUUUAAUUGUAUUUAAAUGUCUGUUUAUA